ACGGGUAGAGCGGAAGGCUCCGUGGCCAGGGAAGAGCGGCACGGACGCGUUCCUGCUCGCUCCGUUGCACCGGAAUUUCGACGGCUGGGUUCGGCCGCUAAAUUGAUGGCGCUACCGGAAGAAAUUUCAGAAAAAAAGGGUGGCUUUUUCGUCGAUCUCUUGGUGAGAGUAUCAAAUCAGGCGGCGGUAAAUACGUAGAAGCAGCUAGGCGUACUACGGCGUGUACCGGACAGCGUUGGCGUGCCGCUCUGCUAGCAGCGGAGAGCCAGAUGAGGAUGCCCGUGAUAUGAGAAAAGCUCUGUCCAGAGAUAUGGAGACGAAAUCAGUUGUACCUCACCCUGUGACACCGGAAGACAUUGAGUAACUCGUCCUGCAGCUGGCUCCUCGGUUUUGGCGGCAGCCUGCACAUAGCAGCCCAGCUCUCCAGCAGCCUGACGGACCGACCGUGUGUCUGUUCCACGCCGGACUGGCGAGCGUGGCUCCGGGUAGGACAGCCGAGGUGCCCCAGGGCCGGGCCCCGAGCCCCGGUGCGGAGUCUC